GCGCCUGUAGCUCAAUUGGAUAGAGCACCUGACUUCGGAUCAGGCGGUUUGGGGUUCGAGUCCCUACAGGCGUA
rnacentral:tRNA from 1 species